rnacentral:hammerhead_ribozyme from 1 species
AGCCGAAACGCUUCUCAAGGAGCGUCGCUGUGGAGUGGCAGCCCACGGCCCGAUGAUGGCAGGCCAAC